UGCCCCUGCCCGGCGCCGCCGCCGCUGCCGGCCCUGUCAAUCACGGCCGGCAUUUAUAGCCGCCCCGCACAUGGCGCUGUCAGUCGGGCGGCGGAGCCGUGACGCGGCCCCGGGCUCCCCCCCGCCAGCCCCGGGUCCCUCGGCGUGAGGUGGUCCGGCCCCGGCCCCCCUCCACCCCUCCUCCCCCUCUGGGGACAAAACGCGCGACGUUCAAGCGUUGGUUUUGUUAAUCGUAACUCCCUCCCUGCCCCCAACGCGUUGGUCAGUUUGGGGGUUUGGGGUUUCUCAAAGGUAGCUGAGGGUCGGCUGCAAAACGCCUUGUUGCUUCGAAGGCACGAUCGUUGUGCCGUGGCUGGCAGCGCUGUGCGCUGCGAUCGUUGCGGUCACGUCCUGGUGGCGGUCCCAGGAGCGUUUCAGGCUUUGGCAGCUGUUUUUCCCCUGGGUUCCCAAGGUGCUGGUAUUUAUUCGGUCUCCCUGAAGAGGACAGCGUGAAACAGGGCUGUAAGAGCGGUUGUAUUGAGCGCCGCAGGCACGUCGCUGGUGACACUGCGGCUCUGCGGAGCGGGAUUGACGGAUAGAACAGCUUGGCUGUGCAUCGGCGGUCUGCCCACGGCUGUGUGCCUGGAGUCUGCAAGAAGAAAACAACAGCAGGCAUUGCUGCAAAAGAGACGAGAUCGUGGCAGAGAGGUCCAGACUGGGAAAGACCACAGGCUUUGAGCCGAUCCCUGCCUGGGCAGGAGAGAGAAUGAACGUGACAACAAGCAGCGAGGCAGCUUUUUCCUACAAACUGCAUCCCCAUCCUUUUGAAGAGAAAAGCAGCAGGAAGAGUCACAUCCCUGGAGAGGCAUGGCUCAGCUUUGCUCCUUCCCCAGACAUCCAUCUGCAUCCUUCCAUACUGCUAGUGAAGGUACUUGUGGCAAGAGCUGAGGGAGAGACCCAGUGGGAAUUUGUCUGCUGGUGGGAA
rnacentral:lncRNA from 1 species